CGUAGGGGGCAAGCGUUGUCCGGAUUUAUUGGGCGUAAAGCGCGUGUAGGCGGCCAGGUAGGUCUGGUGUGAAAACCCGAGGCUCAACCUCGAGAGGUCAUCGGAAACCAUCUGGCUAGAGUCCGGAAGAGGAGAGUGGAAUUCCCGGUGUAGCGGUGAAAUGCGCAGAUAUCGGGAAGAACACCUAUGGCGAAGGCAGCUCUCUGGGACGGUACUGACGCUGAGACGCGAAAGCGUGGGGAGCGAACAGGAUUAGAUACCCUGGUAGUCCACGCCGUAAACGAUGGGUGCUAGGUGUGGGUGGUGUCGACUCCAUCCGUGCCGAAGCUAACGCAUUAAGCACCCCGCCUGGGGAGUACGGCCGCAAGGCUA
rnacentral:rRNA from 1 species